CGGCACGGGUGAGUAACACGUAUGCAACCUGCCUGCCACAGCCGGAUAAUCGGGAGAAAUUCCGUCUAAUACGGCAUAAUGCAUCGACGGGACAUCCUGUUGGUGCCAAAGGUUGAUUCCGGUGGCGGAUGGGCAUGCGUCGCAUUAGUUAGUUGGCGGUGUAACGGACCACCAAGACGACGAUGCGUAGGGGUUCUGAGAGGAAGGUCCCCCACAUUGGAACUGAGACACGGUCCAAACUCCUACGGGAGGCAGCAG
rnacentral:rRNA from 1 species